rnacentral:rRNA from 1 species
AUUGAACGCUAGCGGGAUGCUUUACACAUGCGAGUCGAACGGCAGCGCGGACUUCGGUCUGGCGGCGAGUGGCGAACGGGUGAGUAAUGUAUCGGAACGUGCCCAGUAGCGGGGGAUAACUACGCGAAAGCGUAGCUAAUACCGCAUACGCCCUACGGGGGAAAGCAGGGGAUCGUAAGACCUUGCACUAUUGGAGCGGCCGAUAUCGGAUUAGCUAGUUGGUGAGGUAACGGCUCACCAAGGCGACGAUCCGUAGCUGGUUUGAGAGGACGACCAGCCACACUGGGACUGAGACACGGCCCAGACUCCUACGGGAGGCAGCAGUGGGGAAUUUUGGACAAUGGGGGCAACCCUGAUCCAGCCAUCCCGCGUGUGCGAUGAAGGCCUUCGGGUUGUAAAGCACUUUUGGCAGGAAAGAAACGACGCGGGCUAAUACCCCGUGGAACUGACGGUACCUGCAGAAUAAGCACCGGCUAACUACGUG